CCUACGGGGUGCAGCAGUGGGGAAUAUUGGGCAAUGGGCGCAAGCCUGACCCAGCAACGCCGCGUGAAGGAAGAAGGCUUUCGGGUUGUAAACUUCUUUUGUCAGGGACGAAGCAAGUGACGGUACCUGAUGAAUAAGCCACGGCUAACUACGUGCCAGCAGCCGCGGUAAUACGUAGGUGGCAAGCGUUAUCCGGAUUUACUGGGUGUAAAGGGCGUGUAGGCGGGGAAGCAAGUCAGAUGUGAAAACCACGGGCUCAACCUGUGGCCUGCAUUUGAAACUGUUUUUCUUGAGUGCUGGAGAGGCAAUCGGAAUUCCGUGUGUAGCGGUGAAAUGCGUAGAUAUACGGAGGAACACCAGUGGCGAAGGCGGAUUGCUGGACAGUAACUGACGCUGAGGCGCGAAAGCGUGGGGAGCAAACAGGAUUAGAUACCCCUGUAGUC
rnacentral:rRNA from 1 species